rnacentral:rRNA from 1 species
AUCUUGACGGUACCUAAUCAGAAAGCCACGGCUAACUACGUGCCAGCAGCCGCGGUAAUACGUAGGUGGCAAGCGUUGUCCGGAUUUAUUGGGCGUAAAGGGCUCGUAGGUGGUUUGUCGCGUCGUCUGUGAAAUUCCGGGGCUUAACUCCGGGCGUGCAGGCGAUACGGGCAUAACUUGAGUACAGUAGGGGAGACUGGAAUUCCUGGUGUAGCGGUGGAAUGCGCAGAUAUCAGGAGGAACACCGAUGGCGAAGGC